AUGAGAGCAGAAGCGUCUGAAAAGGAGAAAUCCAAAAAGAAAGUUUUAAAAGAGAUUGUUGAGAAGGCAGUGGAGGAAGAUACAAAUGACAUGACUGAGGACGACUCUGUGGAGGAAGAGAAAUAUGAAAAAGAAAAAUCUAGAACAGAGGAUGUGGAAAUAGAGGUAAGAGAGGCUGAAGCAGAGAAGGCUGAGGUAGAGGAUGAAGAGGAGAAGAAUGAUGAAGAAGAAUGA